rnacentral:misc_RNA from 1 species
GAGAAAGCUGCAGUGCACAUCCUGCAGACUGCAGGUGCUGGGCUGCCUCUGGAGUCCCAGAAGGCAAGCUUGGCUGCAGGACAGAAAGGGAGAACAGCUUCUCUCACCCCUGAGCCUUCACAAGCCCUUGUCUAUUUGCCGUUGCCUUCAAAAUAUACCUCCCCCGAAACCAGUAGCUUUCUGAGUCCUGGUGUCCCCUCCGCCCUUUCUGGACAGGUUUGGGAAGAAGAAAGCAGUCAGUGCUGGGCCUUAUUGGGGUGUGAAGCGCCUUGCUCUGCCCCUUCUGCUCACUGUGAAGGCCGCUGGAUGCUUCUCUUAGGCAUGGUUUAAGCCUCCGAUUACUAAACCCCUUGCCCCACAAACGUCCACAUUGACGAGCCUCUUUUUAGUAACUGCUUCCCCGUAAUUCCUUCAGAGGUUGCUGUACCCUUCGCUGAUGUGCUGCCCUCCUGUAAAACCUCCAGAUGCCUUCCCACGUAAUGCCCCUUUCAGAUGCUUUAAGCUGAGAGCUUAAACCACAGGUACCAUGGCUGACGCCUGCCAGGUUUCUGCUGCAGAUAAUCUAUGAUGGGAGGGGCAUAUUUUUUACUUCAUUACUUAUGUAAACUCUUGUUCCAGAAAGCUUUAAUGUGUGUGGGAGUGUUCUGGGUCUAUUAGGUCUGUGCGCAUGGGUGUGGGCAUUUGCCUGUGUCCACCGGGUGGGUCUCAUUAUGAAAUGUAUGUUUAUGUAGGGCUUUAAUGGCUGAAAAUGGCAAAGAGAUGAAUAGACCACUUGGCCCCAUGUGUAAUUGCCAGGCCCCUUCUGUGCUCAAAUGAGGUGUCCGAGUGAAGGUCAGCCCUUCCCUUCUGUAUUUGGGGCCUAUUUAUGCCACCAGUAAUUUUAUAAGAAAUCUGAAUAGUUCUCCCCUUUGAGUGCAUUUAACUCUUUAGUAUCUUCUCUCUUACCUAUUUGAGCCCCUCUAGCUACAGUCUGGCUUAAAUGAAAGGGGAAUUAUAUGCUUAAGAAAAAGUAGGACACGGUUGAGGCAGUUUGCUGACUGAAUACGCGAAGAAGGACCUGAUGGGCUCAUAUGCACCACUGCCAUCACAGUCCCCAUCGUGAUGCAAGCUUAUAUGAUUCUUGAGGUAACUCUACCAGAUACUUCCAGAUUUAGAAAUGUGUCAAAGGAAAAAUUGGUGAUACUCUUCUUUCCCCUGCCAGAAACAGCCCAGAUCUCCUCUUAAGCGGAAAAGAGAUUGACCUUCUAGCAGAGGCAAAGGUAAACUCCUAAUGGAGUCUUCUGGGGGCAGCUGCAAAGCGUUCUCCCUAGGACAGAUGGAGCCUCCCUUUCCUCAUCUACUCUGUGGGUGGUUUCAGGGCCCACGAGUCAACAUGAGGAGUUGUGCUGGUGGUAUGUGUGUUGGAGGCUGGGCUGGCUGAUUCACAGUGACGAGGAUGUCAAUAAUAACAAGAAUGAGAAUGAUGAUACCUAAUAAAGACUUUUUUUCCCAA